rnacentral:lncRNA from 12 species
AUGGGAUAUAACAAUGCUGCUUCUGCUGGGAACUGCACCCAACAGCUGAAGAAGGGAGCCUAUCAACUUCUCCCAGGGAAGGACAACACACACUUUGCCCUCCUGCAUCCUGUCCACAAACCUGAGGAGAUAGCUCUGGAAGACGUGCUACAGGAAAGGAAGCUGACGCUCAAAUCGAAGCUGCCGGGUCUGACACAAAUACCGAGGACUCCCCUCCAAGGGCCCUAAUACCACUAUGGGUGAAUUUACGUUCAACACCAGGAAAACGUCCAGAGAGAAUUGCCUACACAGGAGGAGCAGGCUACAACUGCAUGCCUCUGGGACAACUGAAAUCGGUGAGGCCUUUGUGCAUAUCUCAGGCUUAUCAAUGUUCUUUUAAUUAAUGUAUACCAAGGAAAAUAAUCAAGACUGUGUUGAAAGAUUUAGCCACAAGAAUGGUCAUCACUGCGUUACUUACUACAACGAAAAAUGGAAAUCAUGUAUAAUAUAUCCAACAACAAUGGAUUGUCUAAAAGAUUACAGUGCAUGAAUGCAAUGGUAUACUCUGGCAUCUUUGAAAAUGGUGUUGAGAAAUAUUAGUGAUGUGUAAAAAAAAAAUAUCAUGUUGUAUCAGGAGUCUGCAAACCCUGGCCAACGGGACAGAUCCUGCCCAUCAGGCAUUUUUUGUGAAUGUCUGGGUGGUAUCUUGGCCACACCCAUUUGCUUUCUUACCAUCUCUGGCUGGUUUUGUUCUGCAGCUGCAGGACUGAGUAGGUGGGAUGGAGGCCCCUUUGGCCAGCAAAGCCCAAGGUAUUUGUUUACUACCUAGCUCGUUAUAGGAAAGGCUUGCUAGCCUCUGUUUUAUAUUAUUAAGUGAACAAAUAGUAUUAUUUCAGAGAGAGAAGGGGGGAAGGAGGGAUGGAGAGAACAGCCAAAGUAAACAAACCGAAAUGGUGAACAGUGGCUAUCCUGGGUGAUAGAAUCACAGGUAAUUUGUGGUUUGCUCCCUUUGCUUCGCAGUCUUCUCCAGAAUGUAUACACCAUUACCUUCACCAUCACAUGCAAACUUUUUUUUUUUAACAUUGUAUUAUACCAUUUAAAACUGCCACUCUAUCUUCCCCAGCCUCCCAAUCUCGCCCCAUGGAUACAGAGGCAGCAAAAGAGUCUCUAGUUAUUUUGUUGAGUGGCUGUGAAGCCACCCAUCACCCUGUAACCAGGUUCUAUUCAGUAUUACACCUGCGAGGAUAUAAGCAACAGGAGAAGAGGAACAGGGCAACAGUGCUUGGAGAAAAUUAAGAUCUGCAGACGUGACAUUUCCUAGAAAUCAGCCUGUCUUGGUUUCUCCUGUAAUUAUUCACCAUUUUGUUUACAAAUGGGAAAUAGCAUUCUACUGUUCAGUGUCUUCCAAGAGACUGAAGUUAAUUUGAAAUAAUCCUCCAGCAAAAGCACCAAUAAAAGCAUCUGGAACGCCCUGAUGCCA